CUUGGCGAUCUUUAGAGCAACAAGCGGCAGAGAGGAGCCAGCGAUGACUGCUUUGGGGGACCCCAAAAUUUGCUCUGAAGGGGAAGCGGGUCUGGAGAGGGGCAGGGACAUCCCCAAGGUCACUCGGAGGAUAAGGGGCUCCUCUGUAACUGUCCCAGCUACAGACACAGGAGGGUGUUGACUGUCACCCUAUAACACUAAUGCCAACAAUAUGGAGCCAGCUACCGUGUCCGUCGUGGGGACCAGUUCAGCAGUGCCACCCAGAAAUACUACACAGCGGCACAAAAGAACAAGGGACUCCUACCAGGAGACGCCUCCAAGAAACACCCCGAAGUCCAGGGCUCCGCCCCACCCAGCACUUCGGACCAUCCUCUCUGAUUGGGCUGUCCUGAGCACUGUGAGGGGUGGACAACAGGAGCCCACCCCCCCCACAGUGUGACAACCACGGGUGGCCCUAGACCUCACGCAGUGUCCCCUGGGGAGAACCUCUGCUGUAGACUCAGCAAACAGACUCAAGAUCUCAUCUGGGAAUUUUUUUUAAAGAGUAUACAUAUAUCCUUUAUAAGAAUGUGUAUCUGUUACAUGUGUAGCUGCUCAGACAAAGCUGGAUGCAAAUAGGGUUUUUUGGAGUAGGGAGUCCCACACGGUGGAGGUGACGAGGAAGCUUUGAUUUUUACUCUGGGUAAUUCUACAUCCUCUUAAGAUGUUCAUGAGUGGCUUGUGCUAUUAAAAGGCAAACUUUAACAAUA